CCUACGGGAGGCAGCAGUAGGGAAUCUUCCGCAAUGGACGAAAGUCUGACGGAGCAACGCCGCGUGAACGAUGAAGGCCUUCGGGUCGUAAAGUUCUGUUGUUAGGGAAGAACAAGUACCGUUCGAAUAGGGCGGUACCUUGACGGUACCUAACCAGAAAGCCACGGCUAACUACGUGCCAGCAGCCGCGGUAAU
rnacentral:rRNA from 1 species